UCUUAUCCACCGAGAGAAGUAUGUUCUGUGAAAUACUGUUUCCUCAAUCGGAUCCCUCAUUUCUUUAGUUGCUGCAAUUAUGUUCCUAUUUUUAAUUUGAGAAGCCUUUGCUGCCAAACGGGAGAUCGCAUCAAUUGAACUGACUUCAACAAACGUAGAGUGGCUGCACGGGAAGUUGCAAGGACAGAACAUGGACACAAUGCAAUUGCGAUCAAGGAGAAGAAAUGCCGAAGUAUCUGGAUGGUCAGUGGAGGAUGUCUGCCAGUGGCUUCAGCAAAAUCAGUUGGCGGACUACACCUCUCCUUUCCAAAGUUUUACAUGUAAAUACAUCAAUUGCAUGCAAGGUCCAACCAAAACCUGAUUUCCGCUUUUAACCCAACUACCGUGUAGCUCUUGUUAUGGGGGUGUUUUAACUGCCUUACUCAAGGACAGAACAACAGAUUUUUUCACCUUGUCGGCUGGACAAUUCGAAUGCUUUAAAUCCUAGGCUACCUGCCAGUCAAAAUGACUGCUUUGUAUAACUGCCUAAUAUGGAACAAGCAUUUUUUUGUUGCUCAUAAAACAGAUUUGCCUCAUUGGUCUGUAUCACCAGAGUGAAUACUGGAGCAAUACUGCUGUAAAGAAAUGGGAAUGGUUAGACUGAGUGAGAUACAUCUGAGUGGUGAAGAACAGGACAGAGGCAGUUUUCAAUACAUACAAUACCUGACCUUUUGAAGAAGGUGGCACAAAGUGAAGAUGUUUGGACAAGCUUAAAUAGAGAAUAAGAACAUGCCAAUGAUAAAAUCUUGAGUGAUUUCACAGAUGAGGGAUUUUUCAAGAGCAGUCCCUUGCACAAGCAAAAACAAACAAUGUGACUUCAUUUUUAUAUAGAUGAAUUUGAGGUUGUCAAUCCACUUGGAUCACUAAUAGGAAAACAAUAUUUCAGCUGUGUACAGUUGAAGUCGGAAGUUUACAUACACCUUAGUUUUCCACAAUUCCUGACAUUUAAUCCUAGUAAAAAG